rnacentral:rRNA from 1 species
GACGAACGCUGGCGGCGUGCUUAACACAUGCAAGUCGAACGGAAAGGCCCUGCUUGUGUGGGGUGCUCGAGUGGCGAACGGGGGAGUAACACGUGAGUAACCUGCCCUUGACUUUGGGAGAACUUCAGGAAACUGGGGCUAAUACCGGAUAGGAGCUCCUGCUGCAGGGUGGGGGUUGGAAAGUUUCGGCGGUGGGGGAUGGACUCGCGGCUUAUCAGCUUGUUGGUGGGGGAGUGGCUUACCAAGGCUUUGACGGGUAGCCGGCCUGAGAGGGUGACCGGCCACAUUGGGCCUGCGAUACGGCCCAGACUCCUACGGGAGGCAGCAGUGGGGAAUCUUGCACAAUGGGCCGAAGCCUGAUGCAGCAGCGCCGCGUGCGGGAUGACGGCCUUCGGGUUGUAAACCGCUUUCGCCUGUGACGCAGCGUGAGUGACGGUACUGGGUAAAGAAGCACCAGCUAACUACGUG